rnacentral:rRNA from 1 species
UACGUAGGGGCAAGCGUUAUCCGGAAUGAUUGGGCGUAAAGGGCGCGUAGGCGGCUUGUUAAGUCUGGAGUGGAAGUCCUCUUUUUAAGGGAGGAAUUGCUUUGGAAACUGGCGAGCUUGAGUGCAGGAGAGGUUAUCGGAAUUCCCGGUGUAGCGGUGAAAUGCGUAGAGAUCGGGAGGAACACCAGUGGCGAAGGCGGGUAACUGGACUGCAACUGACGCUGAGGCGCGAAAGUGUGGGGAGCAAACAGGAUUAGAUACCCCCGUAGUCCCUGAGCGGGCU